UAGGGAAUCUUCGGCAAUGGGGGGAACCCUGACCGAGCAACGCCGCGUGAGUGAAGAAGGUUUUCGGAUCGUAAAGCUCUGUUGUUAAGGAAGAACGAGUGUGAGAAUGGAAAGUUCAUGCUGUGACGGUACUUAACCAGAAAGGGACGGCUAACUACGUGCCAGCAGCCGCGGUAAUACGUAGGUCCCGAGCGUUGUCCGGAUUUAUUGGGCGUAAAGCGAGCGCAGGCGGUUAGAAAAGUCUGAAGUGAAAGGCAGUGGCUCAACCAUUGUAGGCUUUGGAAACUGUUUAACUUGAGUGCAGAAGGGGAGAGUGGAAUUCCAUGUGUAGCGGUGAAAUGCGUAGAUAUAUGGAGGAACACCGGUGGCGAAAGCGGCUCUCUGGUCUGUAACUGACGCUGAGGUACGAAAGCGUGGGGAGCAAACAGG
rnacentral:rRNA from 1 species